UCACUUUUGUUUCUCUUCAAAUCGUAUAAAUCUUUCGCCUUUUACUAAAGAUUUCCGUGGAGAGGAGUGUUAUGAGUAUCAAUUAAUUUUUUGAUGCCCUGCUUUCAGUGGGGCU
rnacentral:snRNA from 1 species